GAAGUGGCAUUUAUCGGGCAGAGAAGCGGCGAGCCAUUAAAAUGGCGGCAAAUUGACGAAAUAUCGAAGGACACAACAUCGAAGAUAAAAUACACUGCACUGUUUCAAAAGUGGAUGAAACCUUCUUUGAAAUCUUCUUCAGCCAUUUAUGAUUAUGCAAAAGUACAAUAACUGGAUGAUACUUGCGAGAUUCGGCGAUAAAAAGCCAACAAGCUAAGACGACAAAAUAUGGCUGAAAUCGUGUUUUCGUGGGGGG